AGGCCUGAUGGGAUGGGUGAUCACAUCAUGGAGGGCCCAGGAAACUGCGUGGAAUUGUCGUAUAACAUUUAUAUUGAUGGUUCCCCCAGGUGGUGGUAAGUGUCAGAGGCCUGAGAAACGCUAGUCUAUUGGCUAGAAUGUUGUUAUGGAGUGUUUAUGAGGACAAGUGGCACGGGAUACGUACAUCUAAAGAAACAAGAGUGGAUCUACGCCAAGCUAGCUAGCUAGAUAGCUGCUCUUUCUAAUCUAUUUCUGUUGCUAAAUUAUGUUUGUUAAGAAGUGGAGCUAUAAUAUACCUGGCUCCUCUUGAUGA